rnacentral:rRNA from 1 species
GAACUGAAGAGUUUGAUCAUGGCUCAGAUUGAACGCUGGCGGCAGGCCUAACACAUGCAAGUCGAGCGGUAGAGAGAAGCUUGCUUCUCUUGAGAGCGGCGGACGGGUGAGUAAUGCCUAGGAAUCUGCCUGGUAGUGGGGGAUAACGUUCGGAAACGGACGCUAAUACCGCAUACGUCCUACGGGAGAAAGCAGGGGACCUUCGGGCCUUGCGCUAUCAGAUGAGCCUAGGUCGGAUUAGCUAGUUGGUGGGGUAAUGGCUCACCAAGGCGACGAUCCGUAACUGGUCUGAGAGGAUGAUCAGUCACACUGGAACUGAGACACGGUCCAGACUCCUACGGGAGGCAGCAGUGGGGAAUAUUGGACAAUGGGCGAAAGCCUGAUCCAGCCAUGCCGCGUGUGUGAAGAAGGUCUUCGGAUUGUAAAGCACUUUAAGUUGGGAGGAAGGGUUGUAGAUUAAUACUCUGCAAUUUUGACGUUACCGACAGAAUAAGCACCGGCUAACUCUGUGCCAGCAGCCGCGGUAAUACAGAGGGUGCAAGCGUUAAUCGGAAUUACUGGGCGUAAAGCGCGCGUAGGUGGUUAGUUAAGUUGGAUGUGAAAUCCCCGGGCUCAACCUGGGAACUGCAUUCAAAACUGACUGACUAGAGUAUGGUAGAGGGUGGUGGAAUUUCCUGUGUAGCGGUGAAAUGCGUAGAUAUAGGAAGGAACACCAGUGGCGAAGGCGACCACCUGGACUGAUACUGACACUGAGGUGCGAAAGCGUGGGGAGCAAACAGGAUUAGAUACCCUGGUAGUCCACGCCGUAAACGAUGUCAACUAGCCGUUGGGAGCCUUGAGCUCUUAGUGGCGCAGCUAACGCAUUAAGUUGACCGCCUGGGGAGUACGGCCGCAAGGUUAAAACUCAAAUGAAUUGACGGGGGGCCCGCACAAGCGGUGGAGCAUGUGGUUUAAUUCGAAGCAACGCGAAGAACCUUACCAGGCCUUGACAUCCAAUGAACUUUCUAGAGAUAGAUUGGUGCCUUCGGGAACAUUGAGACAGGUGCUGCAUGGCUGUCGUCAGCUCGUGUCGUGAGAUGUUGGGUUAAGUCCCGUAACGAGCGCAACCCUUGUCCUUAGUUACCAGCACGUCAUGGUGGGCACUCUAAGGAGACUGCCGGUGACAAACCGGAGGAAGGUGGGGGAUGACGUCAAGUCAUCAUGGCCCUUACGGCCUGGGCUACACACGUGCUACAAUGGUCGGUACAGAGGGUUGCCAAGCCGCGAGGUGGAGCUAAUCCCACAAAACCGAUCGUAGUCCGGAUCGCAGUCUGCAACUCGACUGCGUGAAGUCGGAAUCGCUAGUAAUCGCGAAUCAGAAUGUCGCGGUGAAUACGUUCCCGGGCCUUGUACACACCGCCCGUCACACCAUGGGAGUGGGUUGCACCAGAAGUAGCUAGUCUAACCUUCGGGAGGACGGUUACCACGGUGUGAUUCAUGACUGGGGUGAAGUCGUAACAAGGUAGCCGUAGGGGAACCUGCGGCUGGAUCACCUCCUUA